rnacentral:ncRNA from 1 species
AUCCUUAGUACAGACAGACUGAUUGGGUGCUAAGAUCCAAAGUCGAGAGCGAAACAACCCAGAUCGUAUGCUAAGGUCCCUAAGCAAUCACUUAGUGAAAAAGGAAGUGAUCGAGCGAUGACAGCCAGUAGGUGGGCUUGGAAGCAGCCAUCCUUUGAAGAAAGCAUAAUAGCUCACUGGUCUAGCUCCAUGGCACCGAAAAUGUCUCAGGGCUCAAGUGAUUCACCGAAGCGCAGUCAAAUGUUUAGGGACAGAUGGGGUA